rnacentral:tRNA from 1 species
GGGCCCGUGGUCUAGUGGUUAUGACAACACCCUUACAAGGUGUAGGUCGCCAGUUCGAAUCUGGCCGGGCCCA